UGUGGGGGGGGAACAGGGAGGGUGAAAACCACCCAGCGGAGCCGCCGGGGCGGGGAGGAAACCUGCGCCAGGAGCCACGUGCUGGAGCCGGCGCUGGGUGGGUGGCUCGGGGAGCGGUGGGGGAGGGAGAGGCCCUUGCUGGGAAAGGCCCCAGGCCACGUUUCUGGGGGAGGAGAAGAACCGCGGGUGGACACCCUGGGCCCCAGGCCACCAGGGAACCUUCACCUCCGUCUGGAUAAUGCAGCCCAGAUCUCUUUGAUGGGAGCAGCUCUGGCCAAGCCCUGCCUGCUUGGGGUUGGACCUGAAGAAAUGCACUGGCCUAACCUAAUUGCCUUUUCGGACCUCGGUGGGACGGCGCUGGGGCUGGGACGGGAGGCUCUCCCACCUCACACCCUUCAAAGGGGAUGUACGUCCAAGGGUCGAAGAAUUGGAGAGCCUAAGUAAACCCAGGGUGGUUGGCUGUCCAGGGAAGGUGGGGGGAGUCGUAGGAAGAAGAAAGGAAGCAUGCAAAAGAAGGAAGAAGCAUUUAAGCACGUGAUAAGGACAUAACUGCAGUCCUUGGAAAGGUGGAUUUCCUACUCCCUGGGAAUUUAAGCCAAAAUCCCCUCAGCAGAGAAAAUGGAUUAGCUGCAGGAAGGAAUGAGACACGUUGAGGAGUCUGGGCUGCUUCCGAGUGGAUGCUCAAGAAGGGCUAGAGACCCUUUAAGAAGCACCCACCUGCAGUGGCCUAAGUGGCACCUAGAAACUUCUGUAAACCCUUACGGUUUUUCCUGCCUAAUCAAUCAGGAAGGGAGAGGAGCCAGGAAGUCAAGGCGGCAAACCUCCACAGCUUUGCCAUGCUGUUCUUUCAAAGCCACAGCUCAACAAGUGAUGCCAGCCCAGGGAGGGGGUGUCGUCUGUGUCUCCUCUUGCAGGCGGAAGCAGCACCACAGCCGGGAGAACAAAACCCGUUUGGAUCUGUCCAGAGCUGUUUGUCAGUACUGCCUUCCAGGACCACGUGAGCUGCCUCUUGCCCCACGUGACCCUCAUUCAAACUCAGGGAGAACGAGAGCUCCCGGGCCCCUUCUCCUCGGACAGCCUAAUCCCACGUGUGCAGAUGGGUGGCUCAUUUCUGCCAGCUCAAAAUAA
rnacentral:lncRNA from 1 species